rnacentral:piRNA from 1 species
UCUUUCUUUGAGUCUUAGAUGAGUGGAAU